UGGCUUUUAUGCAGAAUAAAAGUUGAUUCGGAAUAGUUCAUUUUAACGGCGCGCGCAAACCAAAUCAAUAAUUUUUUGUUCAUAUGAAGUUUGAUCUCCAUAUGUCAAUUAGUAUGUGUUUGGCAGCUGUUUGUUGACGACGUGAAGUUAAAAUUGAACAACGGUUUGCUUGAAAAACAUUCAAUGAAGGUCGUGACGUCAUCGAAGAUUUGCUUCAUACCAGUGGUUCAUCCACUUCUGCUAUAGUCGAUAACAUCGAAAAAAUGUAAGAAAUAGUGCUUAAAAGUCGUUGUGUUGGCACCAGAGGCUUUCAACAUCUCUUAUAGAUCGACUCCAAAAAUUUUGGUUAAUGUUUUGGGUAUGGUGUGCAUUCAAUGACAGACUGGUACGAAAAUACCUGAAUCUUUUGCGAAAACCACGUGGAGAAGAGGCUGAAGACCUUACAUUAUUCAAACACAUCGUUGCUGGUGUCGAGUCUAGUGAGUAGAGGGAAUGACGCGGCAAAAAUUAGCGCAAGCCGAAAAAAAAACAAAAUUCGUUGAAGGCCAUCUCAACCAGGACAUUAAACAAGUGUAUGGAAAAUAAUAGCAGUGUUACUCGCUCGAGAGUCUAUAUUGAAGGCGACAAUAAAGAUUUGUACCUAAAUACGGUUUUUUUGUCAGUCCAGGUGAACUUUAAUCAAAUGAACAAAUGUAAAGCAUGACACAAUUCCGAUUUCUUUGGCGCCGCGAUUUGAAGGUACCUUUGGAAAGAGGAAGUCCUCCUGAUUAAAAAAUAUAUAGGGUUAUAGGUACCGCAAACGCUUAGUUUACGAGAUAUUCGACCUUAAAGUUCAAAAAUUCCCAAAAUUCGAACAUUUCAACAAGCUAUUUUACCACAUUAAACACACUUUACUCACAUUUUUCAUUUCAAAUUAAUUAAAUUAAACUAUAAACUUUUAAAUAAAUCCAUAUUUUACACU